AUAGCCGACGCGCGACAAAGUGUAGUAUCUGUUCUUAUUGACUUAAAUCUGAUACGGGUUGUUCUUGGACCGAAGAUAUUAAACUUAAUUUUGCAAGUUGGCGGAGUGCUUGAAGCCUGCUUCACCUCCGCCAUGGGUCGGCCCGGUAUUUCACUAUCUUCGGGCUUUUUGGUCUACGGACA